ACUUAGUGGCGGACGGGUGAGUAACGCGUGGGUAACUGACCUCACACAGGGGGAUAACAGUUGGAAACGGCUGCUAAUACCGCAUAACCCGCUAGUACCGCAUGGUACAGACGGAAAAGAUUUAUCGGUGUGAGACAGACCCGCGUCUGAUUAGGCAGUUGGCAGGGUAACGGCCUACCAAACCGACGAUUAGUAGCCGGCCUGAGAGGGUGGACGGCCACAUUGGGACUGAGACACGGCCCAAACUCCUACGGAAGGCAGCAG
rnacentral:rRNA from 1 species